UGAAGGUUUUAGUUAGGAACUGGUGGUU
rnacentral:piRNA from 1 species